GCUUAGCCGUAAAAUUUGACAGUAAUAUACAACUGCUGUCCGCCAGGGAACUACAAGCGCCAGCUUAAAACCCAAAGGACUUGGCGGUGCCUCAGACCCACCUAGAGGAGCCUGUUCUAGAACCGAUGACCCCCGUUCAACCUCACCUCCCCUUGUUAUCCCCGCCUAUAUACCGCCGUCGUCAGCACACCCUAUGAAGGAAAUAUAGUAUGCACAAUGGGUAAGCCCCAAAACGUCAGGUCGAGGUGUAGCGUAUGGGGAGGGAAGAAAUGGGCUACAUUCUCUAAUCUAGAGUACUACGGAAGGGGCUGUGAAACCAGCCCCUGAAGGUGGAUUUAGCAGUAGAUGGGAACUAGAGCGUCCUGUCGAAACUGGCUCUGAGGCGCGC
rnacentral:rRNA from 1 species